rnacentral:tRNA from 4 species
GGGGACGUAGCUCACUUGGGAGAGCGCUUGAAUGGCAUUCAAGAGGUAGAGGGUUCGAUCCCCUUCGUCUCCACCA